AUGACAGAAAAUCUAUUCCCUGGAAAGCUUCAAAAGUGGAAAGAGUCGUUCAUUCACCGCUUUUUACUCCGGGGGUUUUCUUCCUGGAUGAUGCCGUGUGUGAGUGAAGGGGUGCGGCUUGGAGAGGGAGGAGACGCCUGCGUAGCUUCAGUGCACAAAAUAAAGUCUCAUCCCUGGACUAGUGGGGGAGGAUGGAUUCAGAUCUGCUCUUUCAACAAACGCUCUAUAGUUCAGAGACACAGCAAUGUAGAUAUUUGGAUAAAGAAAAGUCAAAGGAAAUAAAGAAAACAUAAAAAUACAGAAGAAUAUAAUUAAUUCUUGCACCCUAUCUGUGUACAUUUACUGAAAAUCUAACAUUUUGGUCACACAUCACACAGUUGUGAUUUUUAUUAAUACAUUUUAUGCUGGCAUUGUGUGGACACACACCUGUCUAUCAUUAGACAACAUUCAACUAGGCAAACAAACACUGUGAUUCUAGUUUUAUAUGCAAAAAUCUUUAAUUACACAUCCUCACAUACAUACUCAAUAGAAGCUCGUUCACAUGUGUCAUCUACCUAAAUGCUGUUAAGUAAUAUCUGCACCAAUUUUACUCCAUAUAUAUCUCUACGAUCCUUUUACACAUAACUACCUCAUGCAGUUUAGUGAGGAUGAAGACGUCUACAGUACUGAUUGGUAUGUCCACGCUUAAAAAAACGUCCUGAACUGAGAGACAAGACUCGGCCACUCCUUCCGUGCACAUAAAGGCAACACCAUGAACGUGUGAAGCAAUAGUUUUUUAGUGGAGUAUAAAAAAAUAACAGUAUCUUUCUUGACUAUAAAUCUACAUCUGAAGCUCUGAGUACACAUUCUCCACAUCAUGCACAGCUAGUAAGCAGCCAUGUGCCAAGUGUGAGAUGCAGUUAGGGGCCGGCCAUUCAGAAAUACAUGACUGAGGUCCAUUUUAGAGGGAUAAAGUGCAUCAUGUGCCAUUCAUUUCUCACUUAGCCAUUCACUGGGGACACCUGAUGGCGGCAGAGGCUUGUCUCUCGGUUCUGUCAUGGGUAAACGUUCAAGACGUGUUUGCAUAUGGAUGGAUGAUACCAUAGAUGGAUAGACAGAGGGAAAGAGAAACUGGGUGUUUCCAAUUCCUGUAAGUAUGAUAGAUCCACUCCUCCCAUCAUCUGUACAUAUAGGGAGGCACUCUGAGGGUCAUGGCUAGCUUUUAAUGCCUAUGGGUCACUGCCAGGCAGAUAAUAUCUGAGGAGCCUCACUGAAUGGCAUUUGAAGACAGCGAGCUGAAUCAAACUACAAUUAUUAUCUCUCUGCAUCAUUUUCUAAAUUCUCCAUGCUUUUGUUCUGUCAUUCGAAGACAAACACUCUCGUCUGUCUGAGAUCAGUCUCGUCAUGCUUAGCUUUUCUCACAAGCUGGAGGAACACGUCUUUAUAAGCCUGCUAUCUUCAAGACAAUCUCCUUUUAUAUCUGUUAUGAGGUGAAUUCCCAGAGCUCAUGCUGUUAUGGUUCAGAUUUACCCCCCCCAAAAAAACUGAUGAGAAACUAAAACAAAUUAGUCAGCUGAAAUAGUAACUUGAUUGGUUCUUUGGUAAUCCACUGAGUGAACAACUAAAGAAGCAAUUAGGAGGUGAUUUGUUGCUUUUGUGGUAAAAUGACAUCAACUGCUCCAUAAACUAGCACCUUUUGCGUUUUAGCAUUGCAGCCCAUAAAAUGUACACAUAUUUAGUCUCUGUGUGAUUCAACUUAUUGCUACAACAAAUCGAGAAUACAAAGUCGUGUGUGUGUAGCGAGCAGAAAGACGCAGGGCUCCAUCUCUACACCUCUCUGGCUGUUUAAACACACUGUUUCUAACAUCUUUGCUCCGACUCUAAACACAUUUCCUCCUUACACAUCUUUAGAUCAUGUAUAGCAGACAAAGAUUUAACAACAAUCAUAUUGCAAAAGUACAAACAUUUGAUAAAAAUAACAAAUGGUUACAUAUUUAAAACAUACAUUAGGAAUUCAUGACAUGGAAAACAAAAUAACAGACUGGCAUGGCAGGUUAAAUGUCUUCCUGCACUAGUGAUUGGGUGAAAUAAUAACACAGGACCAGCACUGUCUCUGGGAUCAUGCAGUGUAGUUUAUCUAACCAGAGGAAGCAAUUCAUCCAUACUGCAUUAUGUUACACACAUGCAGAGAUGCUGUGGUGUUUUCUUGUGCUGGUUAAAAAGCCAUCGUACAGUGUGUUUCAAUCUGAACUGCUACCAACACUGCUGUUUGUGGAUUCUUAGUCAGUUAAUGCCCUCGAGCACAAGAGGAAGCAGAGGUGUCAUAACAAAACGUGCCACUUUAGCGCAGGUAUGCACUUUUUUUGUUUAAGUCCACCUUUUUUAUUUUUUUGGGAAGUGGCAAAAAAUAUGAGAAGUUGUCUCCUCCAAAAAUCUUCUCACUGUGGCUUUCCAUGCGGUGGCAUCUUCUUCUUCUGUGUUCUUUGUUUAUGUAGGACUGGCAGAGGAUGACGUGUGUUCAUAUGUCAGGUUUGUCACAGUGUAUUCUCAAUUAAUGAGGGAGGGUGAAACAGUGUCACCGUGAUGUGCACUCAUGUUUCACCAAAUAUGAUUUGGCAGUAUAAUGGUGAGUGUGUGUGUGUGUGUUUGGGGUGUGUGUAAGUCAUCAGACGAACUGAGAGAGGUGCUGGAGGGCAGACGUUACCCAGGAACGUGACCUCCACCACUCUCUCGUCCCUCUCCUUUUCUAUAUGUCCUUCUUUCUGUCUUUAGCUUGCCCGUUCCAUAAGAAAAAAAAACUCAUCACGC
rnacentral:lncRNA from 1 species